AUUGAACGCUGGCGGCAGGCCUAACACAUGCAAGUCGAACGGAUCGGCGGACGGGGGAGGAAUGCCUAGGAAUCUGCCUGGUAGUGAGGGAUAACGUCCGGUACCGGGAGCGAAUACCGCAUCCUCUCACCUUCGCCUAGGUCGGAUUAGCUAGUUGGUGGGGUAAAGGCCUACCAAGUCGACGAUCCGUAUCUGGUCUGAGAGGAUGAUCAGUCACACGGGAAAUGAGACACGGUCCAGACUCCUACGGGAGGCAGCAGUGGGGAAUAUUGGACAAUGGGCGAAAGCCUGAUCCAGCCAUGCCGCGUGUAUGAAGAAGGCCUUCGGAUUGUAAAGUACUUUAAGUUGGGAGGCGUUACCAGCAGAAUAAGCACCGGCUAACUCCGUGCCAGCAGCCGCGGUAAUAC
rnacentral:rRNA from 1 species